rnacentral:lncRNA from 1 species
UUUAAAAAAAUUAUUAUUGAAUUAGUCAAAUAUUACAUAAUUUGAUCUAAAAUUUUUAAUAUACCAUUAUCGAAUAAAAGAAAUUAUUACUUAAAGUUUGAACACCCGUCAAGGUUAUUAGGCUCUCCUUAAAUGUUUAGUAAUUAAGAUUAAAUGGAGCAAAAGGACAUUGAGAGAAGUGAAAAGAGAGAAAAGACAGAGGGAAGAGUGGGUCCCACUAUAGCUUUAGGAAGUGUACGGCAUCACGCUUCCCUCUUUCCGUGAAUUUAUGUUCACUUGUCUCUCUCUUUCUCUUUCUCUUUCUGGAAACAGGCCCCCUCUCUUUUUUCUUUCUUGAGCCCCGUACUCUUCUUUUUUUUUUGGUUUUAUUUUAUUCAUUUUAUGUUUACUUUAAUUGUCAAAUAUUUAUUCUUCUUUUUACUUUUUCAUUUCUCUUUUCAAAUAAAAGUUAUUAAUAUGGAUUUAUAGUCGUUCGUUCACGUGCUAGUUUUGAUAACGAUGGACUGAAUUGUUAUCGCGGAAUAAAAAUAGUUGAAUAUGCGUGAUAAAGGAUUUACUUUUUAUAAUUCUUUAAUUUAAUUAAAAGCUUAUAAGUUUAAGCAGAGGCCUCAAAAUCUGUUUAAGUUAAAAUAUUUUUAAAAAUUAUUUUUUCCGAAUCAAACUAAAAGGUAAAGCGUGAAUUUAGGGGUGGCAAAUGACCGGGUUGGAUCGAACUUGGACUGGUCAAAAUGAGUUAGAUAAUAAAUGGGUCAUUGUCCAACCCAAUCCAAAGUAUAUUUGGGCUAAGAUGAGUUGGGUCAAAAUUGGCUAAAGAAUUGGUCAUAACUCAACCCGCCCAAUUUGACCCAUGUUUUAGAACCAUACUAAUCUUGCAUAAAUAAAAUAUUUUACCUUAAAAUAUGUAAGUGAACAAAUAUUUUAUGGAUAGAGGGAUGGGGGUGAGCGGUGGGGGUGAGGGUGG